UGGGGAAUUUUGGACAAUGGGCGAAAGCCUGAUCCAGCAAUGCCGCGUGUGUGAAGAAGGCCUUCGGGUUGUAAAGCACUUUUGUCCGGAAAGAAAUCCUUGGCUCUAAUACAGUCGGGGGAUGACGGUACCGGAAGAAUAAGCACCGACUAACUACGUGCCAGCAGCCGCGGUAAUACGUAGGGUGCAAGCGUUAAUCGGAAUUACUGGGCGUAAAGCGUGCGCAGGCGGUUUGCUAAGACCGAUGUGAAAUCCCCGGGCGUCAACCUGGGAACUGCAUUGGUGACUGGCAGGCUAGAGUAUGGCAGAGGGGGGUAGAAUUCCACGUGUAGCAGUGAAAUGCGUAGAGAUGUGGAGGAAUACCGAUGGCGAAGGCAGCCCCCUGGCAAGUACUGACGCUCAUGCACGAAAAGCGUGGGGGAGCAAAACNGGAUUAAUNCCCUGGUAGUCCACGCCCCUAAAANGAUGUCAACUAGUUUGUUGGGGGAUUUCAUUUUCCUUAGUAAACGUAGCUAACGCGUGAAGUUGACC
rnacentral:rRNA from 1 species